rnacentral:sRNA from 1 species
UGGACACACACGUCCAGUACAUCGGGCUG